GCCGGACUGUGGCAGUUAAGCCUCCUGAGCUGCUAGGAUUACAGUUAUCCCUCAGAAUCCUCAGAAGAUUGGGAGCAGGAAGCAAUGGAUAUCAAAAUUCAUGGAUUCUCAAGUCUCCAAUAUAAAAUGCACUCUCAAACUCUACAGCAGCCUCUUGACUCUGGUGAGAAAAGGACUUCUCCCUAUGACGGCCUCCUCAGCCAGCCGUCAGCUCCACCCCAAGAGAAGCCUGCCUUGGUUCCUGACCAGAUCACUGGGGUUUGAAUGAGUGUGCAUCUGCUGGACUUAGAGCCUAAGG